GUGGGGGAUAACCAUUGGAAACGAUGGCUAAUACCGCAUAAUGCCUACGGGCCAAAGAGGGGGACCUUCGGGCCUCUCGCGUCAGGAUAUGCCUAGGUGGGAUUAGCUAGUUGGUGAGGUAAUGGCUCACCAAGGCGACGAUCCCUACCUGGUCUGAGAGGAUGAUCACCCACACUGGAACUGAGACACGGUCCAGACUCCUACGGGAGGCAGCAGUGGGGAAUAUUGCACAAUGGGCGCAAGCCUGAUGCAGCCAUGCCGCGUGUGUGAAGAAGGCCUUCGGGUUGUAAAGCACUUUCAGUCGGGAGGAAGGUAGUGUAGUUAAUAGCUGCAUUAUUUGACGUUACCGACAGAAGAAGCACCGGCUAACUCCGUGCCAGCAGCCGCGGUAAUACGGAGGGUGCGAGCGUUAAUCGGAAUUACUGGGCGUAAAGCGCAUGCAGGUGGUUUGUUAAGUCAGAUGUGAAAGCCCGGGGCUCAACCUCGGAAUUGCAUUUGAAACUGGCAGACUAGAGUACUGUAGAGGGGGGUAGAAUUUCAGGUGUAGCGGUGAAA
rnacentral:rRNA from 1 species